AGGGAACAGCCCAAAUUUGUAAUCUGGCCCUUUCAGGGUCCGAGUUGUAAUCUCGAGAACUGUUUUCCGUGCUGGACCAUGUACAAGUCUGUUGGAAUAUAGCUUCAUAGAGGGUGAGAAUCCCGUACAUGACAUGGACUACCAGUGCAAUGUGAUACAGUCUC
rnacentral:rRNA from 1 species